rnacentral:rRNA from 1 species
UACAGAGGGGGCAAGCGUUGUUCGGAAUUACUGGGCGUAAAGGGCGCGUAGGCGGCCUGCUAAGUCGAACGUGAAAUCCCCGGGCUCAACCCGGGAACUGCGUCCGAUACUGGCAGGCUUGAAUCCGGGAGAGGGAUGUGGAAUUCCAGGUGUAGCGGUGAAAUGCGUAGAUAUCUGGAGGAACACCGAUGGCGAAGGCAGGUCUCUGGGCCGAUACUGACGCUGAGGAGCGAAAGCGUGGGGAGCGAACAGG